UACGUAGGGUGCAAGCGUUGUCCGGAAUUAUUGGGCGUAAAGAGCUCGUAGGCGGUCUGUCGCGUCGGCUGUGAAAACCCGGAGCUCAACUCCGGGCCUGCAGUCGAUACGGGCAAACUGGAGUGUUGCAGGGGAGACUGGAAUUCCUGGUGUAGCGGUGAAAUGCGCAGAUAUCAGGAGGAACACCGGUGGCGAAGGCGGGUCUCUGGGCAACAACUGACGCUGAGAAGCGAAAGCAUGGGGAGCGAACAGG
rnacentral:rRNA from 1 species